CAAUCCUUUUUUUUGGAGAAGUGAUGGUCUAGCAGUUAACCAGUGGGAUUGAGAACAGAGGAACCUCUGUUCAAACCCCCAUCUGGCUGGAAAAUCACUAAGGAACCUUGGGCAAGGUCCUUAAUCCCCAAGUUGUGCCCACUGUGUAGUGA